rnacentral:rRNA from 1 species
UACGAAGGGGGCUAGCGUUGCUCGGAAUCACUGGGCGUAAAGCGCACGUAGGCGGCUUCUUAAGUCAGGGGUGAAAUCCUGGAGCUCAACUCCAGAACUGCCUUUGAUACUGAGGAGCUUGAGUCCGGGAGAGGCGAGUGGAAUUCCUGGUGUAGCGGUGAAAUGCGCAGAUAUCAGGAGGAACACCGAUUGCGAAGGCAGCUCGCUGGGACGUCACUGACGCUGAGAUGCGAAAGCGUGGGGAGCAAACAGG